CCUACGGGUGGCAGCAGUGAGGAAUAUUGGUCAAUGGGCGCUAGCCUGAACCAGCCAAGUCGCGUGAAGGAUGACUGCCCUAUGGGUUGUAAACUUCUUUUAUCUGGGAGUAAAGUGCCGUAUGUAUACUGCUUUGCAUGUACCUUAUGAAUAAGCAUCGGCUAACUCCGUGCCAGCAGCCGCGGUAAUACGGAGGAUCCGAGCGUUAUCCGGAUUUAUUGGGUUUAAAGGGUGGGUAGGCCGCAUGUCAAGCGUGCUGUGAAAUGUGCGGGCUCAACCCGGGCCUGGCAGGGCGAACUGGGUGGCUUGAGUGGGCGGAAAGCAGGCGGAAGGCGUGGGGUAGCGGUGAAAUGCUUAGAUAUGACGAAGAA
rnacentral:rRNA from 1 species